UACGGAAGGUCCAGGCGUUAUCCGGAUUUAUUGGGUUUAAAGGGAGCGCAGGCGGCGGCGUAAGUCAGUUGUGAAAUCGUGCGGCUUAACCGUGCAAUUGCAGUUGAUACUGCGUCGCUUGAGUGCACACAGGGAUGUUGGAAUUCAUGGUGUAGCGGUGAAAUGCUUAGAUAUCAUGAAGAACUCCGAUCGCGAAGGCAUAUGUCCGGAGUGCAACUGACGCUGAGGCUCGAAAGUGUGGGUAUCAAACGGG
rnacentral:rRNA from 1 species